GAACGUUUAGAAACAUUCAUUACAUAAGAACAGCCUCCAUGUGAACUUCAGAUAAUAAUGACAGGUGACGGAGAUUUAAAAAAAAAAAAAAAUUAAUUAGAAUUUAGAAAUAGAAUUUAGAACUUCGAAUGUACCGAACUUCGAAUUCCUGAUCAGUAAUGAUUUCGUUAACAAUAAGAGCCUUAGUCGUAAGACUUGCGCGUUGUUAUUCUCUGUUGACUGUGUAUUUCUCGGUCUGAUCUUCUGCAGUUUAGGGAGUGCGGUUCUUCUCUCAGUAUCUUCACCAGAUCAUCAUCAGAAAUUAGUAAACAAGAUAAAAUUCUGAAGGACUUCUUUCUUCCGGAUCUCAAAAAACAGCGAUGAAGAUUGGGACAAGGUGAGGGAAUCAAAAGAAGUGAAGGAGAAGAUGAAGGAACACCAGGAAAUGCUGGAGAGUAUGAAGGUCUCCUAUCUCAGCAACCUGGACAGAAUCAUGGGGAGAGAGCAAGAAGUGGUGAGAAAUACAGAGUGGUGUUUACUGAGCUGUCUCUAUCGCUAUCUGAGAU
ensembl:lncRNA